rnacentral:rRNA from 1 species
UACAGAGGGGGCAAGCGUUGUUCGGAAUUACUGGGCGUAAAGGGCGCGUAGGCGGCCUUCUAAGUCGGACGUGAAAUCCCUCGGCUUAACCGGGGAACUGCGUCCGAUACUGGAUGACUUGAGUUCGGGAGAGGGAUGCGGAAUUCCAGGUGUAGCGGUGAAAUGCGUAGAUAUCUGGAGGAACACCGGUGGCGAAGGCGGCAUCCUGGACCGACACUGACGCUGAGGAGCGAAAGCCAGGGGAGCAAACGGG